rnacentral:rRNA from 1 species
GCGAACGCUGGCGGCAGGCUUAACACGUGCAAGUCGAGCGGGCACUUUCGGGUGUCAGCGGCGGACGGGUGAGUAACGCGUGGGAACGUGCCCUCUGGUUCGGAAUAACUCAGGGAAACUUGAGCUAAUACCGGAUACGCCCUUUUGGGGAAAGGCUUGCUGCCGGAGGAUCGGCCCGCGUCUGAUUAGCUAGUUGGUGAGGUAACGGCUCACCAAGGCGACGAUCAGUAGCUGGUCUGAGAGGAUGAUCAGCCACACUGGGACUGAGACACGGCCCAGACUCCUACGGGAGGCAGCAGUGGGGAAUAUUGGACAAUGGGCGCAAGCCUGAUCCAGCCAUGCCGCGUGAGUGAUGAAGGCCUUAGGGUUGUAAAGCUCUUUUAUCCGGGACGAUAAUGACGGUACCGGAGGAAUAAGCCCCGGCUAACUUCGUG